ensembl:lncRNA
GUUCAAGGGGCUGUCCAUCAAAGGGCGCGUGGGGUUCACCGCUGCGGUGGUUUCUGGGCGUCUGAGGCCCCAGAAGCCUCUGCCGCUCGGACUCCGGCGGCCGCGGGGACGCUGCCCAUGGGUCGCGUCCCCUCGGGUUCUCGCGAGAUCGGCCGAGACGAUCCGCUGCUCCCUGGGGGCCGAGAGCCGGGGAGGGCUCGGGGGUCCCAGCCGGUGGGGUGACAGUCUUGGUCGUGCGGGGGGCGAGGUUCCUGGCCCGACUCCGGACCCCGCCGGUAGCUUCCGAGUGUCCAGACAUUCCGCGUGGCGAGGAGGGCGCCGGGGCUCGGGCUGGACAGACCGGCUCUCCCCGCGGCGGGGCGCCCUCGCUGGUCCCCUCCGUGGAGACGCACACCCUCUCUGAACCUCUCGGGUGACGGACUUGGUGAUCCGGGGCCGUGGGAGGGUUCCUAUUCAUGCAGUAGAGUUUUUAGCGCUUAAUGAAAGGGAGCUGCCUCCGAUAUUGGGAUGUAAAGAGAUGAAAGAAACAAAGACCUGCAUGAGCGUGGAAGAGACGGGCCUGCGAGAUUAAAAUGUUGAUCUUUCCGCCUGGAUCAGUGUGUGGUUCAUGGAACAAAGGAGCCGCAUGACUGGGGGCUGGAGAGGCUUGGGUGACCGUCUCGGGUCCUGCAUUGUCCUGGUUCUUGCCUGUCCCUGGGUCAUGCCAUCCCUUCCCGGAGGCUAAGGGCCCUCUCUCUCCCAGGAGCUUGUCUCCACGGCCGCCUCUUCCACACCAGCUGUCUCUGAUCCGCUCUUGACUCUGCCCCAGAGUCACUGGAUCCAUAUGCCUGGUAACCCCCUCCCUCGCUUAAAAGCUGGAGGCUGUAGGUUGGGGCUCAGGGCCUGUCUAAUCUGGCGGCCUGCCCUUCCAACCCCUCCUUUCCCGGUCCCACCUUCAGGGCCAAACUCCAGCUGUAGCGACACCUCUGCUCCUUGGCCCCGGCGGGCUCCCUGCCCGCUGUGCCCUGGGCUGGCAUCCCCCUUCCACCAGCUCUUCCAGGCUUAGAUGAGCUGUCAGGGGUCGUUGGCCACUUACCCCCAGCAAGCACACUCAUUUCUGUCCUCCUGUUACUUCUUGUCACAGCACCGUAGGCGACACUUAUGUUCCAUCACGAGCUAAACCAGUGGCUUUUGUAUCAGCGCCACGUUUGGGAGGUUGACAUGGGCCUGGUGUCUUUAUCCUGGUGUUCCAGGUGCAUCGUGCAGUGUCUGGCACAGCGGGCAUCUGUUCAUCUGCCAAAUGUUACUGGAUACCCUAGGACGUGUCAGGAGUAAUUGUGGGCCCUGGGGAAAUGCAGUGCGGUAAACAGACAAAACCCCCAUGCGCAUGGACCCCAUCCUCGUGAGGCUGACAAACUAAAAAAAGUUUCUAUGGUUUCUCCGUGAACUCAGAGCUCUCCCGAGGUGGGCAGGGAGGCGGUGAUGCGGGCUGGCCAGUGUCCCCGUCCCCAGGGCCCUGGAACACGAACAGAAGCUCGGGCACAGAAAGCGUCCUGGCCCGUGCAUUGCGUGACAGCUCCCGAGUGAAUCAUGCUGCUAUUCUGGGGCCGCUGCUCUCCAGGGCGGGGAGCAGGAUGGCGAGGGCUGUGUUUGGAGUCGCCUCUGAGGCCGCAGAUCCGGCAGCGAAUGACAGCCCGAAGGGAUCAACGUGGGUGACCAGCUUCUCUGCAGAGCGAACCUCCAGGGUGAAAGUUCUCCCAAGAUCCAAAAAAAAUCAAAUGGCUGGAGCUCAGGAAGCUUAGCAUGGGGGCAAGAGCACAUCAUGUGACACCCAACACCAAGAGGAGGCUGCGAGGGGCACUGAGGGAGAUGAAAGAUGGAGCGAACUCGGCGACACCCCUCCCGUUGAAAGCUGAAGAUGCUGCCUCUGCGAGGGCGGGGCCCCUGACGUUCGCUGCCGUGUGCAUCAGGACCUGGGACGUCGUGCAUGCUUGUCCAGCUGGAACCCUGUGAAGAGUCCUGCCUUGCCCAGUCAGAAUGAUGCUUCCUGCCCGCAUCCGCCCAGGCCUCUCUUAGACGGGACGGUGGCCGGCUGUUAGUUGGGUCCUUCUCUCUCCUGGCUGCCACGUGAGAACAGAGCCAAAUCCUACCAAGAAGAAACCGCAGGGCGGUGCAGAUGCCCAGGGGGCUUCAACGGCCUGGCUCCGGAGGAACGGAUCCCAGGCUCUGUGCAAAAGGCCACCUCCUAAUUGGGCACCGGGACUUUCUGUGACAGGGGUCCCAGCCUCUCCCCGUAUCAUCCUCCCCACACCUUUCCAGGAAGGGUGAAGGAGUCAGAAUUAUGGACCCCGAAGAUGUCCACGUCUUAAUCGCUGGAGCCUGUGAGUGUGUCAUCACUUGGCAAGGGGGAAUUAAGGUCGCAGAUGGAAUUAAGGAUGCUAACGAGCAGACUCUGAAUAGGGACAUGGUCGUGGGUUAUCCCGUGGGCCCAAUGGAACCACAAGGGUCCUGGAAAACAGAAGAGAGAAGCAGAAGAGAGUCAGAGGGAAAGGCCACCACGGAAGAAUGGUCAGAGACGCAAAGUUGCUGGCUGCGAAGAUGGAGGAAGCAGGCCACAAGCCAAGGAAAGUGGGUGGUCUCCUGUAGCUGGAAAAGACAAGGAAGAGCUUCCAGAAAGGAACACAGCCCCGCCCACACCUUGAUCUUAGCCCAGCCAGACUCAUGGCAGCCUUCUAGCCUACAGAACUUAAAGAUAAUAAAUUUGUGUUGUUUAAGACUAAA